ACCUUACUAAAACUAAUAAUUUUUUUCCUUUCCAGAGCACUGGUGAUCAGGGGAACUGUCCCUACUCCUGCACCCCUUCUGUCUCCUGCAGUGUGCCGGCUCGGGGUCACUCGUGCGGACCCUAUGGGUAUCAAGUGUGCUGUAGAAUCCGCAGGGAUACAUACGCCCUGCCUGCUUCUGUGGACGCCAUUGAGCGUGUGCCUUGAGCUGUGGUCCUCUGUGAAUAACAAGACAACGUUCGUGUAUUGCAGAAGACUGCUGCACCAUCUCCCAUUAUUAUCUAAUACAUGUAAUUACUCUAGAUCUAUAACAGUGUACUCGUCAUAACCUCAUUUAGCUUCCCGAGUUCUUCGUGUCUUUUUUGAGUGUGAGUGUGUUCGUAAUUGAAAAACUGCCAAGCCAAUUUCAAUACAGGAAAGUUGCAGAUGUUUUCGUUGGUGGCUUGGUUUUAACGGAGGAAGAACGCCAAAAAAAGUUGUGGGUUUCGAAACAAUUUAUUUUGUAGCGGCAUCUGUUGUGGAGUGGUUAGAUCUAGACGCUUCGUCGUCACAAGCUGAAGAUCUGAGUUCGAUUCUCACUCAGAGUGAAUUGUUAUCGAUUAUCUCGUUCUUUCUGCGGCGACGUUGUAUACCCCUCAGACAAGGUUAGCUCUGAAAAACAGGGUCGGGGCCUGUCUCCUAAAUGAUAUUAUAUUUUGUCCAUGGAGACGUUGCACACACUACAUUUAAAUAAAGAAACAGCAUGUUUGUUUGUUUUUUAGCUGUUAUAGAGAUUCAGUUCGUAGCUUUGUCUAAAAGACAACGACUGACAGAUGCAUUUAAGACGGUGUUUGCAUUACAACAGUUAAGAAGCAGAGAAGAACGUUGAAAGAGAAAUGAAAAUAAUGUGUGAAGGAUGAGGCUGCCUGAUUAUGUGAAAAAGUACAGAUAUGACACACACAUUGGCAAUCAGGGUUUGUCAUUCAUUUCUCCGCUCGAUUGCUCUCAAAAGGUCUUUCCACGUCACAUCAUUCAUCUGUUCAGGUUUUCCAAGUCGGUUGUUCUGUGUCUACCCCUGCCUGAUUUGCCUUCUAUUUAACUAAUGAGUGAAAGAUGCCCAAGAUCUUUGUAUCAGUUCAACUGUCCAAGACACUGCAUUUUGAUAGAUACCCUUAAUCUACCUGACAGGUGACAGGUAGGGUUGACGAGUGCUCCUGAAUUAUCUAAAUUGUGUUGAUGGGAUAGUAAGAUAUCGCCUAUAUUUUUUUUCACUUUUAUGCCUUUGUGAAUAGGUAACUAACCCAUAUCAUUAUGACGUUUCUGACUAUUAACCCUUUAAACCUUCACCCCGAACCUAUGGAAUCAGUACAUCUAAGACCCUGAGCACCGACCCCUAGAUAAGGCCGCCGUGUGCCGAGGUGUGCGCUCGAAUUCAUCAGGUUACUAGAUUUGUCUUUGAUCCAUAUUGUAACUACUGAAGAUGUUUGUAUUUUGACUUCAAUAAAGUGAUUUCCAUACUCUGA